GGUCGUCUCGCCGGACGGCCGGACCGCGCGUUUCCCGCGCGCGCUCUGCCGCUUCGAGGCCGAGGACGGCCGC
rnacentral:tRNA from 1 species